CCAGAAGUAUUUAGUAACUAGAGGUUCUGGAAGUUUGUAUUGGAGGUUGGGAAGCAAUAUAGGCAACAUUUAAUACAAUCAAAAGUAUAUUGGUUAAAUGUUUGGUGGCGGAGGAGGGCCUUAGGGACGGAAUAGGAGAGAGAAUUACAAAUCAAAAACCUGUCAUGAGAAUUUUAGUGUAGCUUUCUGGAAUUGACUUGAGUGAAACUUCCGAAAAGUUUAAUUUAGGUGAUUAACUGGUUAAUGAUGAAAGAAUUUCUGGUUCAGUCAGUUACUUCUGUUUUCUGAGCAUGAGUGUUAGUUUACCCAUUCUAGCUAGAGAUAUCAGCCUUAGUUCCUUGUGAACUUGUGGAUCUCUCCGUUAUCCCAGGUUCUUCUGUAAAAUUAGAAUUGUAUAUUUACUCUGCUUUGUCCUAUGAAAGAUUUUCUCAAGUGCCACUCGUGGACUAUUGUUUCUGUUUUUCCUUUCUUUUUUUAACCAUGAAUAUAUAAGAAACCAUUUAUUAAAAUGUUUCUUCCAGCAUUUUGGAAGUGUGCCCAAAGGGCUAUAAAAUUGUGCAUACUCUCUUUGAUCCAGCAAUACUGAUGCUGUUUGAGUGGUCUAGAUUCCUAUUUAGAGAUUAGUGGCUAUUAAGAGAGUUAUUAAGAAUCCCCUUUAAAUUUGUUGCAGGUUUUAGUAAUGAAAGAAUUCACUCAUGCCCGAAUAUUAGUUGCAAAAUGAAAGUUUAUUGUUAGAUAGAAAUCAGUUUAACCAGGAGACUGACUUCUAUAGUGGCAGAUCUAUGGAAAAUGGAGUUUUGCACUGAGAAUGCAGUUGUCAGUGGACAGAAAGUCCUGGCAGUAAAGGGAGCUGUCAAGGUCCAUCUGCAAAGACUUUAGUUGUUGGAAGCUUAUUAUAUUGGGUGUCUUGGUGAGUGCUGGGACAACCGGAGCAGAUCAGAACCAGUGGGGGCUGGGAGAGCCCAAUUUGGUUCAAAUCCAGGGGGUGCUGGGACAAGCCCGGAUCUCCUAUUGGAAUUCAAAGGGAUGCUUUUUGACCAGGAUUUUUAAUUGAAUCAAAGGCUCUGGCAUCCUCGAAAGACAACUUGUCUGGUGAGGAUAUGCCUCAGCCAGGAGGGGUUGAGAAUCUGAAAGGAAUCACAGAUCAAUAGGAAAUAGUUUCUUAAAGGGACUGACGCGCUUCAAUACCACUAUUAGGUCUGUAUUCCAAAGAGAUCAUAAAAAAGGGAAAAAAGAAUUUCAUAUGAAAAAAAUAUUUCUAGUGGCUCUAUUUGUGGUGACAAAAAAUUUGGAAAUUGAAGGAAUGCAUAUCAAUUGAAGAAUGGCUGAAUAAGUUCUAGCUUGGCCAGAGUUGAAGCCUUCAGAAGUCAGAUCUUUUUUUGCUACAUAUUUUACCUAAUUAGAGGCACAUGACCCCUUUUCAGAGAGGCCUGGACAGACUUGCAUGAAGUGAUGCUAAGUGAAAUGAGCAAAAUCAGGAAAUCAUCAUACAUGGCAACAACAAGACUAUAUGAUGAUCAAUUCUGAUGGAUGUGGCUCUCUUCAAUAAAGAAAUGAUUCAAACUAGUUCCAAUUAUUCAGUGAUGAAGAGACCAAUCUAUACUCAGAGAGAGAACCGUGGGAACUGAGUGUGGACCACAACAUAGCAUUUUCGUGCUUUCUGUUGUUUGCUUGCAUUUUAUUUUCCUUCUCAGUUUUGUUUGUUUAUUUUUUCCUAGAUCCAAUUUUUCUUGUGCAGUAAGGUAACUGUAUAAAUAUGUAUGUAUGUCUAUAUAUAGGAUUUAAUAUAUAUUUUAACAUAUUUAACAUGCAUUGGACUAUCUGCCAUCUAGG